ensembl:lncRNA
CUUGACCUCCCUGUCCUGCAUCCAGUGUCGCAGCACAGACUCAUGGACACAGCAAAUGCGCAGCCCUGCACCGACACACGGACAGCCCAGCCCCACAUGCAGAGCGCACAACCUGAGCUGGGGGAGGUGGAAAGGGCAGCGGCUUGGAUCCUCAGUCCUCAUCAGCCAGGUGGGGUACCUGUUGCACCAACAGGGACCAGGACAGUCCACCCUUUUCCACAGCUGUGACCACUGCUUGGCCUAGUUGGGGGAAGCAGGACCCCAGGCCCUGACUGGGGCCGUCAGCACCGUUAAGUUCUUCCUCUCUGAGGCUUUCCUGGGUCAGCACUUCGAGGCCGUGGAGUUGCAGGGCAGCGAGCCUGAGUCCGGAGACCUCUUCCCGUUCAGGCUGAUGUCCCCCAACGGACGCUGGUGGGGGCCCACGUGGGCGUGUAUUGCGGCCACGGAGAGAUCAUCCACUUCGAGGGCAAGAAUCCCAGCAGUCACAGGCCGCACAUGUUUCUGGGCUCCUGCGAAGGGGUUGUAUCCAAACGGGCAGCGCCCGCUGUUGCGCUCCCGCUCGCUGUGGCGUGUGCUGCGUAGACGCGGCGGCAUUGACCGCGCCGGGCUGGAGCGCCGCAUGCGCGAAGCCAUGGACGCGGACCCGCCUCCCUAUCACCCCACGCACAGCAACUGCGUGCACUUUGCACUGCGUCUGCUCGGCCCAGGGCCCAGCCUGGACCCCCUACAAAUAGACCGGAGUCCCAUUUCGGUGUCAGUGGACGUGGACUUGACGGUGGACUAGGCAUGAACUCAAGCCCUCCUGGGUGGGCAUGGGGGCUUCAGAAAUGGUCAUUAAACUGUUUUCCAAAACCGAGUUCGGGGUUCAUCGUCCCCUCUAUUCUCUCGCCACCUCUCCGCAACCUGAUGUAAGCUCCUCGGCGCUCUUGGAUCAACCUUCCUAAAAUUCCAUCACCUCCAGGAAGCCCCCUGUGAGAAACCAGAAUGCCGGCAGAGGGGCCCAAAUUUUGUAGGAAAGGUGGAGCGGAGAGAGGGAGCGUCCGUGGUCUCUGAGUCGGUCUCCG